AAUAGAUACCCGGGUAGUCCACGCCGUAAACGGUGGGCACUAGGUGUGGGCAGCAUUCCACGUUGUCCGUGCCGUAGCUAACGCAUUAAGUGCCCCGCCUGGGGAGUACGGCCGCAAGGCUAAAACUCAAAGGAAUUGACGGGGGCCCGCACAAGCGGCGGAGCAUGUGGCUUAAUUCGACGCAACGCGAAGAACCUUACCAAGGCUUGACAUACACCGGAAACAUCCAGAGAUGGGUGCCCCCUUGUGGUCGGUGUACAGGUGGUGCAUGGCUGCCGUCAGCUCGUGUCGUGAGAUGUUGGGUUAAGUCCCGCAACGAGCGCAACCCUUGUCCCGUGUUGCCAGCAGGCCCUUGUGGUGCUGGGGACUCACGGGAGACCGCCGGGGUCAACUCGGAGGAAGGUGGGGACGACGUCAAGUCAUCAUGCCCCUUAUGUCUUGGGCUGCACACGUGCUACAAUGGCCGGUACAAAGAGCUGCGAUCCGUGAGGUGGAGCGAAUCUCAAAAAGCCGGUCUCAGUUCGGAUUGGGGUCUGCAACUCCG
rnacentral:rRNA from 1 species